rnacentral:rRNA from 1 species
GAUGAACGCUGGCGGCGUGCCUAAUACAUGCAAGUCGAGCGAACGGACGAGAAGCUUACUUCUCUGAUGUUAGCGGCGGACGGGUGAGUAACACGUGGAUAACCUACCUAUAAGACUGGGAUAACUUCGGGAAACCGGAGCUAAUACCGGAUAAUAUUUUGAACCGCAUGGUUCAAAAGUGAAAGACGGUCUUGCUGUCACUUAUAGAUGGAUCCGCGCUGCAUUAGCUAGUUGGUAAGGUAACGGCUUACCAAGGCAACGAUGCAUAGCCGACCUGAGAGGGUGAUCGGUCACACUGGAACUGAGACACGGUCCAGACUCCUACGGGAGGCAGCAGUAGGGAAUCUUCCGCAAUGGGCGAAAGCCUGACGGAGCAACGCCGCGUGAGUGAUGAAGGUCUUCGGAUCGUAAAACUCUGUUAUUAGGGAAGAACAUAUGUGUAAGUAACUGUGCACAUCUUGACGGUACCUAAUCAGAAAGCCACGGCUAACUACGUG